rnacentral:rRNA from 1 species
UCAGAUUGAACGCUGGCGGCAGGCCUAACACAUGCAAGUCGAGCGGUAACAGGAGAAAGCUUGCUUUCUUGCUGACGAGCGGCGGACGGGUGAGUAAUGUAUGGGGAUCUGCCCGAUAGAGGGGGAUAACUACUGGAAACGGUGGCUAAUACCGCAUAAUGUCUACGGACCAAAGCAGGGGCUCUUCGGACCUUGCACUAUCGGAUGAACCCAUAUGGGAUUAGCUAGUAGGUGGGGUAAAGGCUCACCUAGGCGACGAUCUCUAGCUGGUCUGAGAGGAUGAUCAGCCACACUGGGACUGAGACACGGCCCAGACUCCUACGGGAGGCAGCAGUGGGGAAUAUUGCACAAUGGGCGCAAGCCUGAUGCAGCCAUGCCGCGUGUAUGAAGAAGGCCUUAGGGUUGUAAAGUACUUUCAGCGGGGAGGAAGGUGAUAAGGUAAUACCC